rnacentral:sRNA from 2 species
AGAAUAUUUCGUUAGGUGAGGUUCCUAUACAGAUAUAUGCUGCUGCCCGGAAACAUCGAGAGAUGCCAAUGGGUCAACAGGUACUACCGAAAUAAGGUUUUACUUAAUGUAGCUGGAGAAGAUAUUGUAGUAUUCCAAAGCUGUAUAGUGCUAAAACUCAACGAGUGAAGGUAUUU